GCAUAUCAAUAAGCGGAGGAAAAGAAACCAACAGGGAUUGCCCUAGUAACGGCGAGUGAAGCGGCAACAGCUCAAAUUUGAAAUCUGGCUUUCGGGCCCGAGUUGUAAUUUGUAGAGGAUGAUUUUGAUGCGGUGCCUUCCGAGUUCCCUGGAACGGGACGCCAUAGAGGGUGAGAGCCCCGUCUGGUUGGAUGCCAAAUCUCUGUAAAUCUCCUUCGACGAGUCGAGUAGUUUGGGAAUGCUGCUCUAAAUGGGAGGUAUAUGUCUUCUAAAGCUAAAUACCGGCCAGAGACCGAUAGCGCACAAGUAGAGUGAUCGAAAGAUGAAAAGCACUUUGAAAAGAGAGUUAAAAAGUACGUGAAAUUGUUGAAAGGGAAGCGUUUAUGACCAGACUUGGGCUUGGUUAAUCAUCUGGGGUUCUCUCCAGUGCACUUUUCCAGUCCAGGCCAGCAUCAGUUUUCGCCGGGGGAUAAAGGCUUCGGGAAUGUGGCUCCCCUCGGGGAGUGUUAUAGCCCGUUGUGUAAUACCCUGGUGGGGACUGAGGUUCGCGCUUCUGCAAGGAUGCUGGCGUAAUGGUCAUCAACGACCCGUCUUGAAACACGGACCAAGGAGUCGUCUUCGUAUGCGAGUGUUCGGGUGUCAAACCCCUACGCGUAAUGAAAGUGAACGCAGGUGAGAGCUUCGGCGCAUCAUCGACCGAUCCUGAUGUUCUCGGAUGGAUUUGAGUAAGAGCAUACGGGGCCGGACCCGAAAGAAGGUGAACUAUGCCUGUGUAGGGUGAAGCCAGAGGAAACUCUGGUGGAGGCUCGCAGCGGUUCUGACGUGCAAAUCGAUCGUCAAACAUGGGCAUGGGGGCGAAAGACUAAUCGAACCUUCUAGUAGCUGGUUUCCGCCGAA
rnacentral:rRNA from 1 species